rfam:Hoeflea olei strain JC234 contig_13, whole genome shotgun sequence.
GGUAAACGCGAUGGAGGACCACCAUGGGAUUUACGCAAUCGCUCAACGCCCUUGUGAUCUGUGCAGCGUUCAUUUUUGUUGGUGCAAUGCUCUUUAUCUGACCUCGACGAGCAUUGAAUAACAGUCAAAAGUUUGAAGACGGGAGCGCACAGGCGUUCCCGUUUU